rnacentral:rRNA from 1 species
AGUGAACGCUGGCGGUAGGCCUAACACAUGCAAGUCGAACGGCAGCACAGUAAGAGCUUGCUCUUACGGGUGGCGAGUGGCGGACGGGUGAGGAAUACAUCGGAAUCUACUUUUUCGUGGGGGAUAACGUAGGGAAACUUACGCUAAUACCGCAUACGACCUACGGGUGAAAGCAGGGGAUCUUCGGACCUUGCGCGAUUGAAUGAGCCGAUGUCGGAUUAGCUAGUUGUCGGGGUAAAGGCCCACCAAGGCGACGAUCCGUAGCUGGUCUGAGAGGAUGAUCAGCCACACUGGAACUGAGACACGGUCCAGACUCCUACGGGAGGCAGCAGUGGGGAAUAUUGGACAAUGGGCGCAAGCCUGAUCCAGCAAUACCGCGUGGGUGAAGAAGGCCUUCGGGUUGUAAAGCCCUUUUGUUGGGAAAGAAAAGCAGCAGGUUAAUACCCCGCUGUUCUGACGGUACCCAAAGAAUAAGCACCGGCUAACUUCGUG